rnacentral:rRNA from 1 species
UACGAAGGGGGCUAGCGUUGCUCGGAAUCACUGGGCGUAAAGGGUGCGUAGGCGGGUCUUUAAGUCGGAGGUGAAAUCCUGGAGCUCAACUCCAGAACUGCCUUCGAUACUGGGAAGCUCGAGUCCGGGAGAGGUGAGUGGAACUGCGAGUGUAGAGGUGAAAUUCGUAGAUAUUCGCAAGAACACCAGUGGCGAAGGCGGCUCACUGGCCCGGUACUGACGCUGAGGUGCGAAAGCGUGGGGAGCAAACAGG